rnacentral:rRNA from 1 species
UACGGGGGGGGCAAGCGUUGUUCGGAAUUAUUGGGCGUAAAGAGCUCGUAGGCGGUUUGUCGCGUCUGCUGUGAAAACCUAAGGCUCAACCUUGGGCUUGCAGUGGGUACGGGCAGACUAGAGUGCGGUAGGGGUGACUGGAAUUCCUGGUGUAGCGGUGGAAUGCGCAGAUAUCAGGAGGAACACCGGUGGCGAAGGCGGGUCUCUGGGCCGAUACUGACGCUGAGGAGCGAAAGCAUGGGUAGCGAACAGG